UACGAAGGGUGCAAACGUUGCUCGGAAUUAUUGGGCGUAAAGCGCACGUAGGCGGCUCUAUAAGUCGGAUGUGAAAUCCCUCGGCUUAACCAAGGAAGUGCAUCCGAAACUGCAGAGCUUGAGUACUUAAGAGGAUCGCGGAAUUCCCGGUGUAGAGGUGAAAUUCGUAGAUAUCGGGAGGAACACCAGUGGCGAAGGCGGCGAUCUGGGAAGAUACUGACGCUGAGGUGCGAAAGCGUGGGGAGCAAACAGG
rnacentral:rRNA from 1 species